UUCUGGCACCGUCGCUCUGCUUUUC
rnacentral:miRNA from 1 species